rnacentral:rRNA from 1 species
GAACGAACGCUGUCGGCGGGCUUAACACAUGCAAGUCGAGCGCACCAUUUAUGGCGAACGGCAAACGGGAGAAUAAUGCAUGGGAAUCUACCAAUUACUACUGAAUAACACGAAAAAAUUUGUGCUAAUACCGAAUAGUUCCGAGAGGAUAAAGAUUUAUCGGAAAAAGAUGAGCCCCUAUUAGAUUAACAAGUUGGUAAAGUAAAGGCAUACCAAGGCGACCAUCUAAAUCUGGACUGAGAGGAUGAUCAGCCACACUGGGACAGAAACACGGCCCAGACUCCUACGGGAGGCAGCCACGUGGAAAAUUAGACAAUGGGCGCAAGCCUGAUCCAGCCAUGCCGCGUGAGUGAUGAACGCCUCAGGAUUGUCAAACUCUUUCACCCGUGAAGAUAAAGACAGGAACCCGAAAAGAAGCCCCGGCUAACUUCGUGCCAUCAUCCGCGGUACUACGAAGGGGGCUACCGUUGUUCAGAUUUACUGGGCCUAAAGCGCGCGUAGGCGGAUAACUUAGUUAGAAGUGAAAUCCCAGGGCUCAACCCUGGAACUGCCGUUAAUACUGUUUAUCUAGAGUAUGAAAGAGGUGAGUGCAAUUCCGAGUGUAGACGUGAAAUUCGUAGAUAUUCGAAGGAGCAUCUCCGACUAAAGCGGCUCACUGCUUCAUUACCGACGCUGAGGUGUGAAAGCGUGGGGAGCACACACGAUUAGAUACCCUGGUAGUCUACGCCGUAAACGAUGAAUGUUAUCCGUUGGUGGGUUUACCCAUCAGUGGCGCAGCUAACGCAUUAAACAUUCCGCCUGGGGAGUACGCUCGCAAGAUUAAAACUUAAAGGAAUUGACGGGGGCCCCGCACAAAGCGGUGGAGCCAUGUGGUUUAAUUUGAAGCAACGCGCAGAACCUUACCAGCCCUUGACAUCCCGAGUUAUGGAUAUUGGAGACAGUCUCUUUCAGUCUAGGCUCGGUCGGAGACAGGUGCCGCAUGGCUGUCGUCAGCUCGUGUCGUGAGAUGUUGGGUUAAGUCCCGCAGCGAGCGCACCCCUCGCUCUAUUAGUCCACCAUCAUUAAGUGGGGGACUCUAGGGGGACUCCCGGUGAUAAGCCGGAGGAAGGUGGGGAUGAUGUCAAGUCCUCAUGGCCCUUAUGGGGUGGGCCACACACGCGACACAAUGGUGGUGCCAAUGAGCAGCGCGUCCGCGAGGCUUUAGAUAAUCUAUAAAAUCCAUCUCAGUUCGGAUUGCAGUCUGCAACUCGAGUGCAUGAAGUUGGAAUCGCUAGUAAUCGUGGAUCAGCAUGCCGCGGUGAAUACGUUCCCGGGCCU